rnacentral:rRNA from 1 species
GACGAACGCUGGCGGCGUGCUUAACACAUGCAAGUCGAGCGGAAAGGCCUCUUCGGUGGUACUCGAGCGGCGAACGGGUGAGUAACACGUGAGUAAUCUGCCCCUGGCUUUGGGAUAGCCACCGGAAACGGUGAUUAAUACCGGAUACGACCACUUCUCGCAUGGGAUGGUGGUGGAAAGUUUUUUCGGCCAGGGAUGUGCUCGCGGCCUAUCAGUUUGAUGGUGAGGUAAUGGCUCACCAUGGCCUCGACGGGUAGCCGGCCUGAGAGGGUGACCGGUCACACUGGGACUGAGACACGGCCCAGACUCCUACGGGAGGCAGCAGUGGGGAAGAUUGGACAAUGGGCGGAAGCCUGAUCCAGCAACGCCGCGUGAGGGAUGACGGCCUUCGGGUUGUAAACCUCUUUCAGCAGGGACGAAGCGCAAGUGACGGUACCUGCAGAAGAAGCACCGGCCAACUACGUGCCAGCCGCCGCGGUAA